GAGAGCCCGUUGCGUUGAGAGGCGCACGGCGGGUUCGGAGAGCGGCCUGAGGAAACGGGCAGAGAGCAAUCCCUGC
rnacentral:autocatalytically_spliced_intron from 1 species